rnacentral:rRNA from 1 species
AACGAACGCUGGCGGCAGGCUUAACACAUGCAAGUCGAACGAGAUCUUCGGAUCUAGUGGCAGACGGGUGAGGAACACGUGGGAACAUCCCUUUCAGUUCGGAAUAACGUUGGGAAACUAACGCUAAUACCGGAUACGUCCUUCGGGAGAAAGAUUUAUCGCUGAGAGAUUGGCCCGCGUCUGAUUAGCUAGUUGGUGAGGUAACGGCUCACCAAGGCUACGAUCAGUAGCUGAUCUGAGAGGAUGAUCAGCCACAUUGGGACUGAGACACGGCCCAAACUCCUACGGGAGGCAGCAGUGGGGAAUAUUGGACAAUGGGUGCAAGCCUGAUCCAGCCAUGCCGCGUGAGUGAUGACGGCCUUCGGGUUGUAAAGCUCUUUUGUCCGGGAAGAUAAUGACUGUACCGGAAGAAUAAGCCCCGGCAAACUUCGUGCCAGCCGCCGCCGUAA